GAAAAAUAGGUGAAUGGCAUAUGAUUCAAGUUCAAGAUUCCAGUUCGUGGUCCAAAGAGCACGAUAAGUUGCCAUUGAAGCAGCUGUUGGAAGCUCUAUUGCCUUGCAACCAUCGAUUUCCUAUUCAGGAUUAUGGUAUGGUGAUGCUUUUUCUCUGUUUUCGUGACCAACUGGUUAUUCAAUGAUGAAAGAUUGCAUAGGGUUCAUAUAGAGUGAUCAAUUUUUGAGGUUAUAAAGACAGCCGGAGCAUCUAGAUAUCUCAAGCCUUUUCAAUUUCAACAUUUUAUUAAGUAAGGUGGAAGAAGACGAUGCUUGGAGCAAGUGAUAAGUGAUUAUGAUAUAGGCUUUGAGAUUCAAUUCUGAUAACGCUUCAGUAUUUGUGUUCACUUGAAGCUUUUCUAAUAUUGUUUGAUUUUUAAUUGUAGUAAUACUCUUUCAUAUUACAGCAAUUAUUUAAAAAUUAA